AUUGCUUCUUAGCCUUUUGGCCAAGAUCAAAUGCAAUAUCUGUUCUUAAUCAGUUUAAAAUUAUCUCUCCUUCCCUGGUGGCUCAGACAGUAAAGAAUCUUCCUGGAAGACAGGAGACCCAAGUUUGAUCCCUGGGUUGGGAAGAUUCCCCUGGAAAAAGGAAUGGCAACCCACUCUAG
ensembl:snRNA U2 U2 spliceosomal RNA